rnacentral:rRNA from 1 species
GGCUCAGGACGAACGCUGGCGGCGUGCCUAAUACAUGCAAGUCGAACGGUCUUUCUAUGGAAGCUUGCUUCCACUGAGAAGAUAGUGGCGAACGGGUGAGUAACACGUGGGUAACCUGCCCAUAAGAGGGGGAUAACAUCCGGAAACGGGUGCUAAUACCGCAUAGUUUUCUUGGUCGCAUGAUCGGGAAAGGAAAGACGGCCUUUGUGCUGUCGCUUAUGGAUGGACCCGCGGCGUAUUAGUUAGUUGGUGAGGUAACGGCUCACCAAGACGAUGAUACGUAGCCGACCUGAGAGGGUGAUCGGCCACAUUGGGACUGAGACACGGCCCAAACUCCUACGGGAGGCAGCAGUAGGGAAUCUUCCGCAAUGGACGAAAGUCUGACGGAGCAACGCCGCGUGAGUGAAAGAAGGUUUUCGGAUCGUAAAACUCUGUUGUCAGAGAAGAACAAGUUGGAGAGUAACUGCUCCAGCCUUGACGGUAUCUGACCAGAAAGCCACGGCUAACUACGUGCCAGCCGCCGC